UGGAUGAACGCUAGCUACAGGCUUAACACAUGCAAGUCGAGGUGCAGCAUUUUAGUUUGCUUGCAAACUGAAGAUGGCGACCGGCGCACGGGUGAGUAACACGUAUCCAACCUGCCGAUAACUCCGGAAUAGCCUUUCGAAAGAAAGAUUAAUACCGGAUAGCAUACGAAUAUCGCAUGAUAUUUUUAUUAAAGAAUUUCGGUUAUCGAUGGGGAUGCGUUCCAUUAGUUUGUUGGCGGGGUAACGGCCCACCAAGACUACGAUGGAUAGGGGUUCUGAGAGGAAGGUCCCCCACAUUGGAACUGAGACACGGUCCAAACUCCUACGGGAGGCAGCAGUGAAGAAUAUUGGUCAAUGGGCGAGAGCCUGAACCAGCCAAGUAGCGUGAAGGAUGAAGGCUCUAUGGGUCGUAAACUUCUUUUAUAUGGGAAUAAAGUUUUCCACGUGUGGAAUUUUGUAUGUACCAUAUGAAUAAGGAUCGGCUAACUCCGUGCCAGCAGCCGCGGUAAUACGGAGGAUCCGAGCGUUAUCCGGAUUUAUUGGGUUUAAAGGGAGCGUAGGUGGAUUGUUAAGUCAGUUGUGAAAGUUUGCGGCUCAACCGUAAAAUUGCAGUUGAAACUGGCAGUCUUGAGUACAGUAGAGGUGGGCGGAAUUCGUGGUGUAGCGGUGAAAUGCUUAGAUAUCACGAAGAACUCCGAUUGCGAAGGCAGCUCACUAGACUGUCACUGACACUGAUGCUCGAAAGUGUGGGUAUCAAACAGGAUUAGAUACCCUGGUAGUCCACACAGUAAACGAUGAAUACUCGCUGUUUGCGAUAUACAGUAAGCGGCCAAGCGAAAGCAUUAAGUAUUCCACCUGGGGAGUACGCCGGCAACGGUGAAACUCAAAGGAAUUGACGGGGGCCCGCACAAGCGGAGGAACAUGUGGUUUAAUUCGAUGAUACGCGAGGAACCUUACCCGGGCUUAAAUUGCAACAGAAUAUAUUGGAAACAGUAUAGCCGUAAGGCUGUUGUGAAGGUGCUGCAUGGUUGUCGUCAGCUCGUGCCGUGAGGUGUCGGCUUAAGUGCCAUAACGAGCGCAACCCUUAUCUUUAGUUACUAACAGGUCAUGCUGAGGACUCUAGAGAGACUGCCGUCGUAAGAUGUGAGGAAGGUGGGGAUGACGUCAAAUCAGCACGGCCCUUACGUCCGGGGCUACACACGUGUUACAAUGGGGGGUACAGAAGGCGGCUACCUGGUGACAGGAUGCUAAUCCCAAAAACCUCUCUCAGUUCGGAUCGAAGUCUGCAACCCGACUUCGUGAAGCUGGAUUCGCUAGUAAUCGCGCAUCAGCCAUGGCGCGGUGAAUACGUUCCCGGGCCUUGUACACACCGCCCGUCAAGCCAUGAAAGCCGGGGGUACCAGAAGUACGUAACCGCGAGGAGCGUCCUAGGGUA
rnacentral:rRNA from 1 species